rnacentral:rRNA from 1 species
UGGGGAAUUGUUCGCAAUGGGCGAAAGCCUGACGACGCAACGCCGCGUGGAGGACGAAGAUCUUCGGGUCGUAAACUCCUGUCGAGCGGGAAGAACGCUCCCCGGGUAAAUAUCCUGGGGAAAUGACGGUACCGCUAAAGGAAGCCCCGGCUAACUCCGUGCCAGCAGCCGCGGUAAUACGGGGGGGGCAAGCGUUGUUCGGAAUUACUGGGCGUAAAGGGCUCGUAGGCGGCCAACUAAGUCGGAUGUGAAAUCCCCAGGCUCAACUUGGGAACUGCAUCCGAUACUGGAUGGCUUGAAUUCGGGAGAGGGAUGCAGAAUUCCAGGUGUAGCGGUGAAAUGCGUAGAUAUCUGGAGGAAUACCGGUGGCGAAGGCGGCAUCCUGGACCGACAUUGACGCUGAGGAGCGAAAGCUAGGGGAGCAAACGG